UAGCCGUAAACGAUACUCGCUAGGUGUCGGCCACGGUGCGACCGUUGUCGGUGCCGUAGGGAAGCCGUGAAGCGAGCCACCUGGGAAGUACGGCCGCAAGGCUGAAACUUAAAGGAAUCGGCGGGGGAGCACAACAACGGGUGGAGCUUGCGGUUUAAUUGGAUUCAACGCCGGAAAUCUUACCGGGACCGACAGCAACAUGAAGGCCAAGCUGAAGACUUUGCCGGAUUAGCUGAGAGGAGGUGCAUGGCGUAGUCGUGU
rnacentral:rRNA from 1 species